rnacentral:rRNA from 1 species
GACAGCAGCCGCCGCGGGAAUACGGAGGGUGCAAGCGUUAUCCGGAUUUAUUGGGUUUAAAGGGUCCGUAGGCGGACUUAUAAGUCAGUGGUGAAAGCCUGUCGCUUAACGAUAGAACUGCCAUUGAUACUGUAAGUCUUGAGUAUAUUUGAGGUAGCUGGAAUAAGUAGUGUAGCGGUGAAAUGCAUAGAUAUUACUUAGAACACCAAUUGCGAAGGCAGGUUACCAAGAUAUAACUGACGCUGAGGGACGAAAGCGUGGGUAGCGAACAGGAUUAGAUACCCGCGUAGUCCCUGUCUCUUAUAC